AACGAACGCUGGCGGCAGGCCUAACACAUGCAAGUCGAGCGAGGACUUCGGUUCUAGCGGCGGACGGGUGAGUAACGCGUGGGAAUGUGCCCUUCUCUACGGAAUAGCCCUGGGAAACUGGGAGUAAUGCCGUAUACGCCCUAUUGGGGAAAGAUUUAUCGGAGCAGGAUCAGCCCGCGUUGGAUUAGGUAGUUGGUGGGGUAAUGGCCUACCAAGCCGACGAUCCAUAGCUGGUUUGAGAGGAUGAUCAGCCACACUGGGACUGAGACACGGCCCAGACUCCUACGGGAGGCAGCAGUGGGGAAUCUUAGACAAUGGGGGCAACCCUGAUCUAGCCAUGCCGCGUGAGUGAUGAAGGCCUUAGGGUUGUAAAGCUCUUUCAGCUGGGAAGAUAAUGACGGUACCAGCAGAAGAAGCCCCGGCUAACUCCGUG
rnacentral:rRNA from 1 species